ACAAAGAAAUUUUUCCACCGGUAGUUCAGGAAGGCAACCGAUUCGUAAAAAUUUGCUCCCAGCGGAUGGGCGAUGGCCUGGUUGUAAUGGGCAAAAUUCUGCAGGCGGCUCCGGUGCGCAUAUACGAAUGGCCGCACAAAAUUAAAUUCUGUCUGUGCAUUCAGAUGCCUUAUGCCGAAAAGAUCAUAGGCUUUGUACCCGGCCUGGAAGGCCUGCUUGUUGCCCCACCAUCCGUUGCCGGCUUUGACUUCAUCGAGUAUCAGUUCGUCGAUCAGCAACUGGCCGUAAAAUACAUGUUGCGGACUCAGCCUGAAUUUGAUAGUGCCGCCCAGCAAGACGUUAUCCGGCGACCCGAUGGAAUUUUCUGUGGGCCGCAGAAAAAUGACGGGAUUCAGAUAGGUGAAAUCAAAUCCGCGCGUGGAAUCGUUUUUCCAUGUCACCGAUUCAAACAAGCCCAGCGUGAUCCGCUCGCGUUUGCCGAUAUGAACGGAAAGGUAAUGGAAGACAGAGUAUUUUCUUUGAAAGCCGGCAUCGUAAUUAUACGGAACCGCCAGGUCCUGCAUCAGGGUAUACAGCACCUGGUACUGCAGUUUCCAGAAUUUCGCUGUCAUCCGCAGGAACGGGUAGCUGAACGAAUUAUCCGAGAGAAGCAACGACCGGUACCCGUCACCGAUGAAAUUUUUAUCCUGCGCCAGCUGAAAAUCAAAAUGCUUGCUUGCCGUAAACCCGAUUCCGCCGAAGGCAGAGUUAAAAUCCACCACUUCCUCCGACAGGAACUUGACCCGCCCCUGUCCCGGCACGACUCCCGUAUUUACAAUUUGUUUGUCAACAUAACGGAUGUAACGCGCCUGGUUUUCAUAGAACCCUGUAUAGAUAUAAAACCGGUCCCCUGCCCUGGCCUGCACCAGGAGCCCGCGCGUAUUGACGAAAACAUUCCUCUCCGCGCCGGGCUCCCUGCCCGCUUCAAAAUUAAAUACCGGGUCGAGUGUCAGGUGCAGAUCAUCCUUGUUUACUUCCAGCAGGUGCUCCUUG
rnacentral:misc_RNA from 1 species